rnacentral:rRNA from 1 species
CUUUGCUGGCGACCGGCGCACGGGUGAGUAACACGUAUCCAACCUGCCCUUUACUCGGGGAUAGCCUCUCGAAAGAAAGAUUAAUACCCGAUGGCAUAAUGAUUCCGCAUGGUUUCAUUAUUAAAGGAUUCCGGUAAAGGAUGGGGAUGCGUUCCAUUAGGUUGUUGGUGAGGUAACGGCCCACCAAGCCUUCGAUGGAUAGGGGUUCUGAGAGGAAGGUCCCCCACAUUGGAACUGAGACACGGUCCAA